UUAGGGGAAGAGCCGAAGAGCCGUGCCAGAUCUCUCUGAGAGUCCAGCAGAUGGUCUUACCUGCGUUUACGCUUCACGACCUCCAGAUGGACGUGCUGUUCUCCAGACGCCUCUAACUGUGAACCUGGAGGUUAAACGGUCAACACCUGCUGAAAGAUGAUGAACUCGGCUCGUAUCCAUGAUAAAUACACGCUGAAGAAGUUCUGGGAGCAGAAGAUUGAGAAGCACAUGGAGAGGACGGGGAAUGAAGACUCCCGGAUGAAGAGCAGCGCUUUAUCAAAGUUACGUGAUGAAUGGCUCCAGAGGCUUCAGAUUCAAAACAAGAACCUGAUUGAGACCAUGAGAGAAGAACAGAUAAAAAAAGCAGAAAGGGUCCAGGACAUUUUAAGAGUUUAGAUGGCUUUAUAACAGUCACCUUUUUUGAUGUAGCUUUUGAGACAGAGUACUUUAUUACAUCACUAUGAUCUUGGUCUCUGUCAGUGGAAGCUUGAUGAUUUAAGAGUGCAGAUGACGACAUCUAGAGGCGAGUCGAGUGAACUGCAGCUUCACAUUUAAACUCACAUUUGUAACCUGAAACUAAAUGUGUAUGCCUGCAG